AGUUCGGAGAGUUUGAUCCUGGCUCAGGACGAACGCUGACGGCGUGCUUUAGACAUGCAAGUCGAACGAGAAAGCCCUUCGGGGUGAGUACAGUGGCGGACGGGUGAGUAACACGUGGGUAACCUGCCCCUCGCAGGGGGAUAACCGGGGGAAACCCCGGCUAAUACCCCGUAAGCUUACAAAGCGGCAUCGCUUUGUAAGGAAAGGUAGCUUCGGCCAUCCGGCGAGGGAUGGGCCCGCGGUGCAUUAGCUAGUUGGUGGGGUAACGGCCCACCAAGGCGACGAUGCAUAGCUGGUCUGAGAGGAUGAUCAGCCACACUGGGACU
rnacentral:rRNA from 1 species